AACAAUUUGCAACCAAUGGGCGUAAUGCAUGGGCAGGUUUCGUGUUCCUCGUACGUGCUUCUCCUUUGUUUCUGUGUCUACCGUUUUUCAAAAUUCCGUCUUUCACUUGUCGACCGUUACCUUCAAAACCCACUUGGAAGAUGGAAACUUUUCAUAUGCCAAAGAACAAUUUGCAACCUUGUGUUCCAAUGGGCGUAUCAGAGAAGCGUAUCACAACUUUGUUUCUUAUAUAUGGUCUGAACCCCGUUUGUUCUCAAAUCUCAUACAAGCAUGCAUUCGCACAAAGUCUGUUUCUUUGGGGAAGCAGCUUCAUUCUUUGAUUAUUACUUCUGGCUGUUCCUCGGACAAGUUCGUCUCCAACCAUCUCCUCAACCUGUAUUCGAAAUUUGGGGAGUUUCGAGCUGCAGUCUUACUGUUUGAUAGAAUGCCUACUAGGAACACCAUGUCGUGUAACAUCAUGAUCAAGGCCCAUCUUGAAAUGGGUAGUUUUGAGAGUGCCAAGAAAAUGUUUGAUGAAAUGCCUGAGAGGAAUGUUGCUACUUGGAAUGCAAUGGUCACUGGCUUGGCCAAGUUUGAAAUGAAUGAGGAGUCUUUGUUCUUGUUUUCACAGAUGAAUGAGUUGGGUUUCAUGCCGGAUGAGUACUCACUGGGCAGUGUGCUUAGGGGAUGUGCACACCUGACAGCUUUGUUUGCAGGCCGACAGGUUCAUGCUUAUGUUAUGAAAAGUGGGUUUGAGUCUAAUUUGGUUGUCACAUGCUCUUUAGCUCACAUGUACAUUAAAGCUGGAAGCUUAAGUGAAGGAGAGAGAUUGAUCAGAUUGAUGCCAAAUUGUAAUGUGGUUGCUUGGAAUACACUUAUGUCUGGAAAAGCUCAAAAUGGGUGUUUUGAGGGAGUUUUGGAUCAAUACUGUUUGAUGAAAAAGGCAGGUUUUAGACCAGAUAAGAUUACUUUUGUGACUGUGAUCAGUUCAUGUUCAGAGUUAGCCACACUUGGUCAAGGGAAGCAAAUACAUGCUGAAGCAAUCAAAGCAGGAGCUAGUUCUAUAGUUGACGUAGUUAGCUCAUUAGUUAGUAUGUACUCUAGAUGUGGAUCCUUGCAAGACUCUGUGAAAGCUUUUUCGGAAGGCAAACAGCGAGAUAUUGUAUUGUGGAGCUCAAUGAUUUCCGCUUAUGGAUUUCAUGGUCAAGGGGAAGAAGCUAUAAAGCUCUUUAAUGGGAUGGAACAAGAAAAUUUGCCAGGAAAUGAAGUUACAUUUUUGAGCUUGUUAUAUGCAUGUAGUCAUUGUGGAUUGAAGGACAAAGGACUUGAUUUCUUCGAGUUGAUGGUACAAAAGUAUGGACUCAAGGCUAGACUAGAACACUAUAAUUGUGUCGUUGACCUACUAGGUAGGUCUGGCUGUUUGGAAGACGCAGAAGCUAUGAUACGUUCCAUGCCUAUGGAACCAGAUGCCAUUAUAUGGAAAACACUGUUAUCUGCAUGUAAGAUCCACAAGAAUGCAGAAAUGGCAAAACGGGUUGCCAAAGAAGUUCUUAGGAUCGAUCCUCAAGACUCAGCAUCAUAUAUUCUUCUUGCCAAUAUUCAUGCUUCUGCUAAUAAGUGGCAGGAUGUUUCUGAGGUGAGGAAGGCCAUGAGAGGCAAGAUGUUGAAGAAAGAACCAGGCAUAAGUUGGGUAGAAAUAAAGAAUCAGGUUCACCAGUUCUGUUUGGAUGACAAAUCCCACCCACAAUCUGCAGAGAUCAAUCGGUAUCUGGAUGAACUAACUUCAGAAAUGAAGAUGCGCGGUUAUGUCCCGGAUACUAGCUCUGUAACGCAUGACAUGGACAAUGAGGAGAAAGAAUACAACUUGGCACACCACAGUGAGAAGAUGGCAAUUGCUUUUGCAUUGAUGAAUUGCCCAGAGGGAAUGCCAAUAAGGGUGAUGAAGAACUUGCGCGUUUGUAGUGAUUGCCAUGUUGCCAUCAAGUACAUAUCAGAGAUAAAAAAUUUAGAAAUUGUUGUGCGAGAUGCUAGCAGGUUUCACCAUUUCAAAGAUGGUACAUGUUCUUGUGGGGAUUAUUGGAUGAAAGGUGCUUUCGUCACCGGUGAUAAUGAAGGUUACGUUACCAUAUGGGAUGCUAAAAGAGAAAAAUUUUAGUUGAGGAAUUGCCUAGUGCUGAGGUGCCCAAGUAGUGUUGUGUCCUUAUCAUACAAUCACGAGGGACAACUUAUCAUCGCUGUAGCAUCUAGCCAUACAUACAAAGCAGCAAAGAGAACAGAAGGGCCUCAUGGGAUAUUCAUCCAUAAAGGGGACAACGUUGAUAUUGGAUCAGUUUCUGCUGGUAGUAAAAGUUAGGGCCAUGGCUCUGGCAUAUAGAAAUGUGUUGUUGACUUGUUGUAGUGCAGUAGGUGACAGGUGGUGGUAGAGGUAACAUUUUCUGCAAGGUUAUAGGUUGUAGCCUUGUAGGCUUAUAUGGGGGAAAGAUGUUUUGCAAGAGAUGACUCCUACACAUUUAUAUAGAUGAGAUGUUUUGGCUUUUGGGGGAGGAGAAACUUCGUUUGAGGAUGAGAGGGAGGGCUCGAGGAAGACCCCAUCUCUUCCUCUUAUUUUUUUUAGACAAC